CAGAAGACGCGGCCGCCGCGGCUCAGGCACACGCGCGCGCCGCCGGGCCGCGCCGCCGCGCCGCAGAAGGUGAAGGAGCAGCGCGAGGCGCGCAGCCGCCGCACCGUGGUGCGCACGAGCGCGGCCGGCCGGCGCCCCCAGCGCGCCCACAGGGCAGGAACAGAAAUUGAAGACCGGUCAGCAUCAAAAAGGCUGUACAAGGUGCUCUUGCCACUUGUGGAUUACCAAUCUACGCCGUACCUACACCUGGCCUGUGGAAACUGUCCAGAUUUACCCUCACAUGUUUCAAGAUGCCAUGAUCUCAGAACACAUGGGAAAAUUACAUUUUAGAGUCAAUCCUGUAUAUGAAUUCCAAGUUGUAACGAAUGGGGAUCACCAUGGUUCAACAUGAACUAAGAAGAAGAAUCAGGGGUCCCUUUCCAGCCUGUGAAUUGAAGAGCACUAAUGUGAUUUUUUUUUUCUUUUUUUUUUUUUUGUACUAGGAAUAGAACCUGGGGUACUUUCCCACUGAGCAACACUCCCAGCCCUUUUUAUUUCUUGAAACAGUCUUGCUAAGUUGCUGAGGCAGGCCUCAAACUUGAGAUCCUUCUGCUACAGCCUCCCUAGUCACUAGGAUUACAGGUGUGCACCAGCACACCUGGCUUGAAGAGCACUGAUACCACUCAUGCCUAGGGAAGCAACAGAGGACAGAUAUGGCAGGGACAGUAAGAGGUUAAACCGUCACAUGAGAAGCUCUGCUUAGGAUCCCUACCUAAAACGACCUCGUUUGAUGUU